GAACGCACAUCAGCUGCAGGGCCUGGGAUGUGUUGAUGCUUAGAGAAUGACCGCUCUCUGAUCCAUUCACACCCAUCCCAUCCUUUUUAUGUUAGAAUGUUUUUGUUUUUUCAAUGCAUUCAUUCAAAAGAAAGCAUUUUCAGAGAAAACUUAUGAUGGUUUAUAAGAGAAAUGUCUAGAAGCAGAAUUCAUGGAAAGGGAAAUGAAUUCCUCCUUAUAUUCCUUAGCUGUUCAAUCCCUGGUCAGGUGGUCACUUUUGCACGGGAUCUCUGCCAACACAAACACAGAAAACACCAAUUUUUAGAUUUCCACCAACCUCCAUGUUCAUUAUUUUCAGUCAAAAAGGGCAAUUGAGGUUUAGUUGUAUAUUUGUUUAUUCUAUUUCAUUUUCUAUUUGUCAAGUAGAUUGAUAGGUCGUCUUUUUGGAUGUCGAAAUGACCUGGGUGACUAAAAAGGCAGACUUUUCUUUUUUUGACAUUUCAUGGCUGAUCUAUUAAAUUCCUCUAGUGGGUGAUUUCCAGAUAUUCUUGUCUUUGAGAUUGAUGAUGAGUUCUUACUAGUCCUCAGUUGUUUUAUAGUUUUAAUUCCUCCUAAUCAGUGAUCAAUUGCUUACUUUGUACCUGUGGAUUCUAGCGCUGUGAAGGAUAAGAAAGAAGCUGAGGAUAUGGAAGCAAAGAAAAAUAAUGAAAAAUUAAAACUAUACUUUUUGUAUUUUAUACAUUCAUAGAAUGGCCUGCGUAGGUAAAAGUGCCAAAUAAGUAGUUAUUGUUUAAUUAUUAGGUUUGUGCUGAAAACGGAGAGGCAAAUCUCAUUUACCAUAGUCUCACUUAUCAUGGUUUUGCCUUCUAUGGUUUCCAUCACUGCUGUCCAAAAGUAUUAAAUGGAAAAUUCCAGAAGUAAACAUAGGCCAUAUUCACAUAAUUUUUCUAUAGUAUAUCUUAUAAUUAUUUUAUUUUAUUAUUAUUAUUGUUAAUUCCUUACUGUGCUUAAUUUAUAAAUUAAACUUUAUCACAGGAAUGUAUUUAUUGGGGGAAAAAUAGCAUUUGUAGUGUUCAAUACUAUCCACAGAUUCAGGCAUCCCAUAGAUAAGUGGGGACUGUUGUAUAUUACACAGUUAGGAUAAAUUAUUAGGGAAUUUUAGGCAUGCACAUGCAAUAGAGACUAUGUUGUUUUGAAGUGCUGGUAUGAUCAUAAAUCUGCUGGUUAUAUCUUUGGCUUACAGCAAAGAGGAAGCUGCCAUAAAGGGCUAAAAAGAGAAAAAAAAGAAAAAACCUAAUGAGUAUAAAGAGAUGGUCUCCUCGCAGGAAGGUCCAUCGCAUACUUACGUGGGCCAGCGAUCCUAUCCAGUUUCCUUGGAACUGACCUGGGAAGGCUAGUGUGAGAAUCUUAGGUCAGGAAGAUUUCUGAGUGUAAGAAGAGGCAUGAUCCCUUCAAUAGAUGAACGGAUAAAGGUGGUAUAUAUACAUAAUGGAAUAUUACUCAACAUUAAAAGAGAAUAAAAUUGUGGUAUUUGGAGGUAGAUGGAUGGAGUUGGAGAAUAUCAUCCUAAGAGAAGUAAGCCAAUCCCCCAAAACCAAAGACCGAAUGUACUCUCUGAUAAGUGGAUGUUGAUCCAUAACAGGGGAGGGGGAAAAUGGGAAAAUGGAGGAACUGUGAUUGGGCAAAGGGAAGGGAGAGGAGGGGAGGUGGCAUGGUGGCAGGAAAGAUGGUGGGAUGAAAUGGAUAUCAUUACCCUAGAUACAUGCAUGACUGCACAUACGAUGCAAACUUAAUUGUGUACAACCAGAGAUAUGAAAAGUUGUGCUGCAAUUGUGUACAAUGAAUCAAAAUGCAUUCUGCUGUCAAAUAUACCUAGUUAGAAUAAACAAAUUUUUUUAAAAAAAGAAGUGGCAUGACAAGGGUGACCUUCCUUGGCUGUAAGAUGUGCUGGGAAAUGGGAGAGAAAAGGACAGGAUUGAGACUAGCUGGGGUUGGAGCCAGGGGAAAUGAAUCUGAGAAGGUCUAGAAGUCUAAAUUGCCAGGUCUAGGAAGGCAUAGUAAACUCUAGUAUUUUUCUAAAUGUCAAACACCUUAGAGAUCAUUUAGGACAUCAUUUAAAAAUCAAUUGCCACGCCCUGCCUUAGCAGGGUCUUUAGCAGAGGAGCUUAGGAUUUUUUUUUUUUUUUAAGAGAGAGAGAGAGAAACAGCAGGGAGGAAGAGCAGGAGGAAAAGAUUAACAUUAAAC
rnacentral:lncRNA from 1 species